GGCGGAGCUUGGCGAUUCAAGGCUGGUUGGUCUGUGCAGGAACUCAUUACAAGUUAACCUUACUGAUGGUUGUCUAUUCACCGUUUGGUCCUAUGGGGAAACGCUUUUCGUAGAGAAAGAUGGACUCUGUUUUGUACAGGCAGGCACGUUGGGCUGUAUCAGUUCUGUAAAAGGCUGUGGGAAGACGUGUGUAUUGGCAUGCUGGCUAAUGGGAGGCGGAUGGUGCGUAUGUAUGGACUUGGGAACACCAGGGGGCGCCAGUGCCCGAAGGUCCUGCGGGAUUGUUGCGGUACUGCGAAGGUCCGCCUUUUUUAAUCGAAGGUCAUCAUUGUUGAUUAAACAGUUACCGUUCAUGGAAUUUUUUAUGAAAAGUUAUUUUAACCUACCGUAGUGCGAUCGAUACGGCAUUCUUCCAAUCGGAAUAUUCGAGAAUUAAUUUUAUAUAUUAAAUAUAUAUUUUAAAUGUAUAUUCUAACACUAGUAUCACAUGUAUAGCUUGCUUUAUGUCUUAUAGUAGUGGGCUUCAGAAGGCGCCGGCUCCCCCGCAGUGAUGACGUUUCUCUUAUGUCGAGGCUGGCAAGUGUUUUUCGCAUCAGUUGUCUGCAGGCGGGUGUUUUUUCGCAUUAUUGCGAGCCUUAUGCAAAAUACGUGGUUACAGCGUGCCCGACAUAGUUCCGCCUGCGUAGUAGUUCUUGUUUUCUGCAGAUAUGCGUAAACCCUCGUUGGUGCGUUACUUUACGAGACCGUAUUGGUAUAUAUUUAUAUCGGAAUCCGCCAUGUAUAUAUGCCUGAUUGGAUAACCCGGAGCAUAUUUAUACAAUCAAUGUGAUUGUUCUCGACAGGGAGAAUGGUUGAUGUAUGUAUUUUACGAUGUGGUGUUUAAUGUUCCCGAAAACCCCGCCCAAGUAUUAAAGCAGCUGGCGCUCAUUGGCAGUCCUGCAAUGGCAGCAGUUUUCCACUGCGGUAUAACGGUGUCAGGUUCCCUCUGGCGGGAGACAAAGCGUUGUUCACGUUUAUAAACUGUCAGACAUCUUGGUCGUCAACCCCCGCCCCCCUCCCCGAAGUUCUCUUUAUCUCAUGCCUCACAUUAAUAUGACAUCAUUUCGUUAAUUAGCAGUGUUCGACAUAGUUUCUCCUUAAAAUAAAAUAUUUGGAAUGGAAAGUUUUAAUGUGCUUCUACCGCCAAUAUUUUUUCCCCUACUAUUUAGAGAGAGGUGUUAGAAGAUUCACAUUGAGCCAUUAUGGCGCGUGAUACCGUACAGUUUCAUUUCCUUCCAGCCUCUGCAGUUUUUUUCCCCCUCCCUUGCGCGUUCACGUCGCGAGCGUCUCCCCCUGGCGGCCGCAGGACGCUCCUGCGCCCUCGGAGCUUCAGCGCUUCGCUCUAGCGGCGAGCAUGAGGAAUGUCUCCCGCCGCGGCUCCACCGCUCUCUGCCUCUACGCUCGUCAGACCCGACAUCCGAGGGAGAGGAGCAAGCCGCCAUUUUCCUAGCGUCGCACUCCCAGAAACGGAAAAAAUAUAUAUAUUACCUACACAGAGACCGACAAAGGGACGCAGAUUUUGUAGAGACCGAGCAUGGGAAGAGGACAGCCGAAUGGAAGACCUUUUUGAAUUGGCCCAUUUUUGCUGUGUUUUUUUGUGUUUUAUCGAGCACUGUUUCUUACUCGUCGUUUCGCCCAUUUCGUGAAUCCGUGACGGGAGCGACCCGGGGGUGUCGAACAAAAAAAAGAAGCUCCACCGCGAGGACUCUGGCCGGAGCGGGGAUUUAAUUUCUUUAUUUUCGGUAUAUUUUCCUGGGUGCAUUUUGUGCUCGUGGUUUUGUUGUUUUUUUCCCUGAAACGGGGAGAAAUUGUUGCAGAAAUUCCCCCGGACUCCGCGCCUCAUCACGUGGUAGGUUCCUCCUUUUUCCUUUGUUAGCCAGCCCCGCUAAACUAGCUAAUCAGCCGAGUCAGCUAACCAGCUAACCAGCUAGGUUCGCCCAGAGCGGCCGCUUUUAGACGUGCAAACCGGGCUGAUAUUAAACGCGUCCCCCGACUUACGACGCUUGAAGGCACCCAGGUCCUUCAUGGUCCAACCUUUCCCCGGCCGGCUGUGAAGAUGCAGUUUUUCCCUCCUUUUCCUCUGUCGCCUUUCCCCUACAGUAUUAAACAUUAAAUUAACCGGCUGGGGGCAUAGAGGGAGCCAAGUCCAGAGCCGUCCGGGGCGCUGCGGUGGAACCGUAUCCAGGUUUGGUGUCGGGUCGUUUCGUAUAGCUGAUCGGACCCCCCUCCGGACCCCCCUAACACCACCACGCAUUUAUCCGCGUGAAAGUAAAUAUGCGUCGGCAGUGUCACUUCAUUACAUGACUAGCAUUGGUUUAACGUUAAAGGUAAUGUUCGGUUGGCGGACACGUCUUGUGUUGCUGUAAGGUCUGCUGGGUGGGGGGGGAGACAGGGUUCGAGCGAUUUCUAGUAGUUUUUAUUUUAUGAUUUUCUUUAGCUCAGUUUGAAGUUGCUCGGGCAUUUCUCUCGAUGCUGUGCGUGUUUGAAAACUUGACUGGCCCCGGAGGAGAAAGCGGGGGUCAUCGCGAACGAGUGCGUUCGGCCCACCUUACGAAAUGUUUGCGUUUCCCCCCGUAUUGUGUAAUUCUCCAGCUAAUGGCGCAGUCUCUUUCGGCGGACACUUUGGUCUGAUUAUGUUCUUCACUGUGGCUCUUUUAUCAGUGAGCAGUUCAGGGCUUAGCCGAAAAGUCCUUUUUCCCCCUCACAGCUGGGCGACUAUUAGGAAAUAAAUGACCCAUAAUUCGUUACUGCUCUGUUUUUAAACAUUUUGUUUUCGUUUUGUGCGCUUUUGUGGAGCUGGACCUUGUUUCCCUUGACUAAAUUUCCAAGGUGCUGCAGUGUAUGCGUGCUUUUUUUCGCAUUUUUCUUUCAGUUGAUCAACUUUCUCACAUAUGGAACAACAAAGAGUGUAAUGUGAUUUGUGAAAGAUGAGGAGCAGUUUCUAUAACUGGGCGAAUUACAUAAUCUCCCUCUUAAAUCCCGACUCCUCUGUCCACAAUCUGCUGCCGGCGCCUCUCUGCUUUCGGGUUGCGGUUAUUUACCCUGCAAACCCAUCGGCUCUAUUCUCCUCCCCAAACAUGUACCUAAUCCCUGGGGUGGUGAUCUUUGUGUCGUUGGAAAGGGGCAUGUUGAACUUUAACCCCUUUGCCAGCAGCAUAGUCAUUCAUUCUAUAUCUAUUUUACACCUCAUGCAUUUCCAGGUAUGCUGUCUUGUUGAGGCUGCGUUUUGGAUUUGCAUCAGAUAUACAUUUUUUGCGUUUAAGACACUUAAAGUUCAUCCAUUCUUGCUCAUAUUAUAUAUUUUUGAAUUGUAUGGCUAGUUCCUUUAUUCAGAUGAGCCUGGAACUUGGACAUAAUGUUUGCUCCUGGGAAUUCUAGUAUUUGCCAGUUCUAACAUAAACUUUACGGAUUAUUAGAUCUUUCCCUGCUUUUUGACAGGCUCAGUAUGUUGUGUGUGGCUUAGACAGUGUGUAGUAAAUACCCAGAUGUGCCUGUGUAGUUUCACUAGUUAAGUGUUUAAUAACUCUGCAGUUUCAUGGGUUUGAUUCUGUAGUUGUAGGCGGUUCUCUUCUGUUGUUUUAUGUUUAUCUAUGUUUCAGUGUAUAACAGCAUUCUAGGUAUACAUACAAGGAAAAAGGGUAUUUUAGUGAUGUGCUGUAGUCCGUGUCCUUUAGACCUAAAAAGUUUAUGUGGAGGUCCUGUCUCAUACUCCCGGUCCCAAUGACCGUGCAGUGGAGCCAAAGUGAAAGGUCAGCACUUGGAAAGAUGUAGGAUACUGUUGUUGGUUAUUCAGUAAGGCAGUUUCUAUGUGAGAAUGGAGUAGUUAUGUUGCUGAGGGUUUUUUUUUCACUUUUUGCCUUUCUUUAAGGACAAGAUGUUAAUCUACAACUGUGUAUUAGCCCUUCUAUCAAGAGUAUGGAUAAAAUCAGUCGUGUUGACGUUGCAUUGCAUUGUCUAGCGAGAUCUUUCUCAGCUGCUUGCUAUUAGAAGCACAGGAACCUGAAAUACAAUCACAGCAGUGCAGGUGCAGCUUGUGCUUUGUAAGAAGCGAGCAGAUGCUGGGAAACAUGCCUUGAUAAAUGAGUUAUUGUACAGUGCCUUGUUUAUGAUGAAGUGGUGGAAUUGAGACAUUUGAUUUUAAUUUGAUAAUAGGGGAUUUGAUAGGAGCAUGGGGUACUUGGUGAUUUAUUCUGUGUUGCAUUUCAGUGUGUUCAUUUUAACUUUAAACAGUUAUGAUUAAUUUAGGUUAUAGUGUUCAGCCCAUAAAUUCAUCAGAGAGAUGUGCUUGGGAUAGAUGAAGUUGCAUUAACUACAUGGUGAAGCGUCUGUUCAGCAUGUAACUGUAGGUAUGGUUUAAAGUAUUUGCAGAUAUGUUGCACUCAACUGUAAAACCUGAAAUUGGUAGUGAUGAAACCAAGUCAAGCCUGUUAUGCUAGCACAGGUAAAGGGAUUUUUCAGAAUGCUAGUUUUCACACUUGCAGCCAUGCAGAUGCCUCACCUAACUCCUUUUUUCCUGUGAUUUCUGGGACGCAACGUGAGGCACACAACUUGGAGAAGGGAAGUUUAACACCUUUUUAAAACCAGUUAAUGUCCCAGGCUGUCCUUGUAGCCUUGAAGUUCAGGGACUUCAAAGAAGAAGGUCCUUGUUGACUUUGUAUGUUACUAGAAAGUUCUGAUUAGGAAGAACUUGCCCUACAGAUGUUUUUGUUUCCAGUUGUGAUGGGAUUUGGCGGUCAGAGAAAUGUAGGCAGAGCUUCCUGUGUGAUGUCUACAGGCAGCAGACUUUUCUUCACUUGUCAUUUUUUUGUUAUGUAAAUAUGAAUAUUCCCCCAUGCUGUCAUUGUAUUCAAGUUGAAAUAGAACAAAUUUAUUAAGAUUAUCCAUGUCAAACAUUCUAACCUAAAUAUGUAUUUUUAAAACAUACAGCUUUCUCACUUUUUCGGCCUGGAAGUUUUUCCUUUUGAAAAGGAAUGAUUUGAUAUCAGUGUGUAUUUCUGCAAGCCCUUUCACCUCAACCCAACCAAUACAUACCCUAUCGAUAUAAAUGUUAUUCUAACACUUUCAUUAUGACAUUUGGUGUGUUGUGCAUAUUAACCCUCUCAGAACUUGCAUUAUAAGUUAAACCAGGCAUGCUUUCCCAGUGGCACGUUUUGUGAUGCAUUUUUUGAGAUUGAACAGACACACAAGCAUGAAAUUCACUGCUUCAUUUUUGUCCCAGUUAGCAGGUUGGUUUUGGGUCACUUUUACACAUAACAGCAGUGAAAUGACCCUGCCUGAAUUAGGGUUUUGGUUUUUAAAAAACUGGUUUAAGUAAAUGAAGGCCUAAAUAUAUCUAUGGUGAAUUUUGAAUUCUGUCUAAUUAUCCUCAUCUGGAUUGUUUUCUUACUGCGCUUGACACAGUUUAAUGAGCGACUUCAGUAAGCAAUUUAACGUACAUAUCAAUAAAUGAUUUUUUCCCAGUGAUUCAUAGCUGCAGCUCUUCAGAUUAAGUACAAUCGGUGUUGUGUUGGUAAUGACAAUAGAUAUAUCUAAUUAGAUUUUGAAGUUGUGGUUUUUGUUGCUUUUGAUUUGUACAACACGUCUUACUGCUUGAGACAUAACACAUCUUUUAAUAGUUUUUCUGCCAUGUGAAAGACUUCUGGUGUUAGGGUAAUUUUUUGCAUGUCGGUCAUUGUCCAUUUAAUUCAAGAACUGCAGUUAAGGUGAUGCUUUUUUGGUCUAGCAGGAUCCUUGACUUGUGGCUGUUGUAACUGUUUCUGAAGUGCCUUCACAUUUAUGUUUGAGUAAUAUAUCGACAGCAUAGUAUUGGAGCUUAAAUUUAAGAAUUAACCAAAUAGUACAUUUUCAGGAUGUUAAAUGACAAACUUGGGUAAUGCACUUGCUGGUUUUUGGAUUUGUCUCGGGGGCCUUCUUUAUAAUUAACCUUUGCAUGUACACAUAGGGCUAUCAGGAAACACUGUUGCAUACCUCAGGUCUUUAUUGACCUGGCAUAUAUAGGCACAUAUAAUAAUAGGGUUUGUGUGUGUGUAGUAGGUUAGAUAUAUAUGUGGGCACUCAUUGUCUGUAGCUUGUCGGUAAUUAAAUUGUCAGUCGCAACAUUUUUCACAUUAUAGGACUCGGAGUUGCCGUUGGGCAGAUUUUUAGCUUGCUAGAUAUCUGACAUGCAUCUGUGAUGCAUUGACAACACUGUCAGGUCGCAUCUUUCAACAGUUCGCAAAUAGUCAUCGAACACCCAAUUUAUAAGUGACCAGUGAUUUGCCGCCAAUCUGGGUCUGUUGUCGGCAAUCUCCAAACACCGUCGGCAAAUGGAAAGUAGUGCUAAAAUCGUGUAGUGUGAACUUGGCCUAUGGUGUGUGUUUUUUUUUUUAUGGUGUGGUGAUAGCAAGGUCUUAAUGCGUUAAACUAAGAGAGGAAUCCAGGUCUAUUAAGAAUGCGCAGACGGGUCUGCGGUUCCAGGAGCCAUACAGCAGUUGGUUAAGAUGCUUGCGUUGAUAACCAUUCACUCUUUGUUGCAGUUAACUUGGGGAUUAUUAUGCCCUGCUGCUGUUUUAUUCUCUCAAACCUGAGAUUAAACCUGAGCUGGAGGGUUGAAGUUGUCCUUGAGCUAUGUUACUGGGUGAGCUGCUCAAAAGCCCUUUAAUAAUAGUCUUUGUGUCUGGGUAAAUUGAAGGACACGUUGGCACUUCAUGCAAGUUGAUGUGGCAAAUUAUGAAUAUUACAGCAGGUCAUAAAACAAGUUGUAUGUGGUUUCCUUGCUUUGGGAGUGUGGCUGCCUCUUGUUGAAAUCGCUGUAGUUUUACACCUUUAGGUGGGCAGAAGUCAAAUAAGACAAUGCGUCUGCUAACAAUUUUACCGUAGUUAACUGUCGUGCUGAGCCCAGUUCUCCCAUGUGUCCCAUCUACUUCAUUAAAAUUAUCUGAUCAUGAUCUGAAAAUUGACUUAUCGUUUUCAGAUUAUGGGGCUCUCUAAGCAAGCACGCUUAAAAUCAGUCAGCAAAUGUGAAAAACUGAAUUUACACUGAAAUUCUGUGAAUGUGUGAUCUACAGAAAUCCACUGUUUGUUCCUUUUCUUUUCCACUAAUCCUUAGGUGAACAUAUUAAUAACACAAGUGCUUGUCUAAUAAUUUAAUGUACACAGCUUCAUAGCCACACUGGGCCUCUUCUCAGCCCUGGAAGUGCCUUAUGCUGUAGUGCAGUCAUUGCUGCCUCAGUGUAGUACCUGCUGGUUAAAAAAUGUUAAAAAAAAGCUGCUUCUUAUCAAGCAAUACUCAUCUGAAAUCGGGAGUCAUUGACAUGACAAAGACGUUAUACCCUGACGAAAGUUUCUUGUUUUCGACAUGCCUGGCUGUGCUUGCAGAGCCGCAGUUUUGUUUCUGUCAGGUAUUUACGGUGUUUUUCUGUCCCGGGUUUUACGUUUUUAAAUGUGUACUUGUGUGGUCCUGGCUUGUGGGUCGGUUGAUGUGUGUUUAAGGUUGUGUGCUGUUGAAAUCGAAUUAAUGCGCUUGAGAUUCUAGGUGUAACCUGAUGACUUGGUAUGUAUCACUUGCAAAUAAGCAGGAAAAUGGUCAGGUAGUUAAACUUAAAAUGUAGAUGCCUAGAUAAAUUCCCUUAGGGGUGUGAUGCUUUAAAUUACUUCUGUUUUUUUCUGGUUUGUGGAUGGUUUAGCUCAGUUUUUCCAGUUUUGUAAAACUUAACAGGUCUUGAAUUUCAGUGCUGGAUUUAACCGAUUCUCACAAAUCUAGCACUUUAUAAUGCGGGAAAUUUCAGAAAGCAUUUACAGCAAUAUCUAAUAAAGUUCAGCUAGUGUUUGCACUGGUGUGGAAUGUGCACUCACUCUCCCUCCCUCUAUAAGGCUACAGGCCCCAAUCCAUGCCAGAGUCCAGUUUGUACCUUGCACAUCUGCUUAUGCGCAGCAUUGCAUUUUAUGGCGCAUUUUACUGAGAUGUGCGAUUUUGUACCACUUCGUUUCGCAAUAUUUUCACAACCAAACCUGAUGUAAGUUACCAGCGUAGUUACAUCUAUUGUAGUUAGAACUUCGGGUUUGGGAAACAUUUGCUAACGCAGGUAAAACCAAUAAUUUGGGAAACGUAUCCCUGAUCCCGCUAAUAUUCCUUUGCAUGACAUUUUACACUUAAAAUUCUCAGGUUCGUUUUACAGCUCGAUUGCUGGUGAGCAAUCAACAUCAGAAUGAGAUAUUAAGUAAGAUAUUACAACUUUGCAUUCUUUUUGUUCUUUGUUUAAUGAAAGUUCUAAAUAGCACCUGCACAUGUUUAUGGAUCUUGUUAGGUACCCCGUUCACAGCGGGAUGACCAUAUAUGUCCAUAACGGCUACUAAUAUUAUACUGUGGUAAACUAACUGGAUUAUGCCAAUAUUUUCAUGAUCCCACUGAUCUGAAGCGCUGCAGAUAUAGCUCCAAAAAACGCAACAUACACUAGGCCUUAUAUUUCAGUUCAUCAAAACUAUAAUAAACCCAAUACACCAUAUAGCUGGAUGGCUGCAAUUUCAACUGAUGGAAAUACAAACCAAAAUUUCAGGUAUGGGAUAUUUAGGUUUUAGUGUUGGUCAAAAACAAGAGAUGCAUGAGUGAAGAAAACACAAAAAUUACAAGGAAAUCGAAUGCAUUUUCCCCAGUUUUUCUUGGUGGUGGUAUUAGCGCCAUAUCUCACUAAACAAUAAAGCCACCAAUGCAGUUUGCUGUAAAUGUAGACUACUGUGGUUUGCUGUAAAAUGGUAGUAUGAGUGGAUCGAGCAGUGCCAGAAAAUAUUAUUCGGUGUAUGCAUGCUCAAUAAUGCUGCGUGUACGCAGAGUUGCGAGGUACAAAUCAGGCAGGUGAUAUGAAUCUGGUAGUGACAGCUUCCUUCUGCUCUUGCCGCAGAUUUCAGUGAAAUGAAUUUGAAGGCAUGUAAACAUGGACCACUGUUAAGUGGAAGAGAGAGAGUGAAGGGAAAGAAUAGAGAAUGGGGAUCAGAGAGAAGAGGGAGCCACCAAAAGAAAGACUAAGGACACUGAUGCAGCUCAAACACACGACCAGCAAAAGACCACAAACUACAGCAAUGUAUACGCAUACUAUGCAAAAGCUUAGGCAGUCUAUGAGAAUGACGCUCAAAUGACCUUCAUUUUAGUGUGGCACUAUGAUAUUUGUUAGUGUCAGCUUAGCCAUUUCAGAACCCCUGCUGUACUUACCCCAGUGCUUGCAGCAACCAUCCAGUACACUUGUGUGUUUGACUUGACCAUUACCCCACCUUGUAUGGCUAAUCUGUACCUCAUUGACUUUUUCUAACAAAUUAGUGAAUUAAUUGGUUUUAAACUAGAGGAGAGUGACGAAAUGCAAUCUGAGGUAAUAGGACUAGGUAAGCCCUAUAGUUAAGCUAACAAGUACCCCCCCCCCCCCAUAAAGCAUUUAAGUGGGGAAUUCUCUCCCUAUUUUGAAAAAUUUAUUUCAGGCCCUGGUUAUAUAGUUGCAGAUCGAAGUGUUCUAACACGCCUUGAUUACUUUAAAGAAUUGCUAAAAUAUAUGCAAAUGAAGUGUUAACAAUCACGUGAUUUUUUUAUGCCAUCUUUAUAUUCAUCUCCCCCUCGCAGCCUAGUCAUAAAUGUUGCCCCCCCCCACCAGAAAUGUCUGUCUCUCACUUUGGAGGAUGCAUUGAUUUAUUUAGCGUGCAUAGUUGUGAGAAGGGCUGUGAGUGCUACACAGCAUGCUGAUGUAACCUGUGAGCGGCUGUGGAAAUGCCAGUCUGAGGUUUUUUGUCUUCUGAAUUCCUGGAGGGUUUGAAGAUCGAACCUAUUUCACUGCUGAUGUCUGUGGUGGGCCUUCAGUUGUUUCAGUUUUGUUUCUGGUACUGGAUUCUGCUUUUCCCCCAUUUGUUUAGGAAAAAAUACGUAGGCCUGAGAUUGGCGACACCCAUCAUGCACUGGCUUCCACUCUACAUUAGCUCUUAAUUAAUUAAAACGGUUGUAGGUUAAUCAUUCAUCAGACAUUUCACCUUUAAAUACGAAUGUGUGGUUGUAUUUGGUCGGUGCUCUUGAAAAAACUUGGUCUGAUAAUGCGUGAAUUUUGUAUACGUUGUAAAAUUUACAUUUUAAUGUACUUAUUCAUUGUGAUCUUAUAUCACAGAUGAUCGUCAGUGCACAAAUUUCAAUUUCACAGCCAUGUUUUUUGUCCAUCUAUUUUUAAAUAAGUGACACAUUGUGCAACCAAGCAUAACUGCUGAAUGUUUUACAGUAAUAUCUGUACCCCAAACCAGUUCUGGUCAUGAAAUGGCAGUGUUUUUUAUGCCUUGUUCAAGGUGGACUGAUUUGAGCAAAAAAAACUGGAGCCCUUUUGAAGAAAAAAAUUAUCCUUGAUCAUAGAAUCAACAUUUGCGCAGUUCGCUUUUCUAGAUGGUCUCAUAAACUCAGUUUGUAGAGGAUUGUUUAUGGGCAGUUUUCCACUGCACCCGGUACCAAAAGUGUGGUAUUUCAAGGUGUUUGUUUUCCAUGCACAUAAAAACUGGAUGACAUCACAACAUGAGGCAGGUAUUUUCUACUUUGUAAUUCGAAAAAUGGCUGUAGUAUGUUAGAGUAGGGCUGUGCGAUAUGAGUAUAUGUAUCGGAUGACGAAAUAAAAACACUGGUCGUUUCAUAUUAUGCUCUAAUGUUUAUUUUGUGAUGUCGCAAAAUGCUGUUUACGGCAACAUUUUAUCAUUUCGAUGACAAUUUGCAAGGUUACAUGCCUCAUGGGAUGUGGCACUUGUAUCGAAGUUUUUAUCGGACUUCAUUUGUAUCGCGCAGAAUACAAUCCACAAAUGUACCAUGAUCCACCAAUAUGUAACUAUACCCAAAUAUGUUUUUUAUUUGUGUUUUAAAAUCAUAUCCACAAAAAAUGAAGCGAUUUGUACAAGUGAAGUGUGCUAUGCCCAUUUGUUGACCACUUCCUGGCUAUUGUGGACCAUGUUACAUUUGUGGCUUCCCUCCUAUUUACGGAUUUUUGUCCAGUCCGUACUGCUAUGGAGCCCCUAGGAGGUCUGACAGGGAAAUACAUUUUUUGAAAUAGUUUUAUUCACUCAUAAUAGUUUUGCGAUCCCAAUAUAACGUUAUGGCAUGGAUAAACCUAAAUAAUACAGACAUGUCGUGUAAAGUUUGCUUUAAGCAUUAAACUAUGGGGGACAGUGUACACCAUGUAAGCUUCUUAUUAAUUGCACUGUGUCUAUUCACCGCCAUUGACUUCAAGCAAGACAGCAGGGCUAUUGAACGUGAAGUGUACGCAUAGAAACAUAUCUAAUACCUGAAAAACCUGUAAUAUAUUGCAAACAUUGAAAGAUAUUACAGCCAGAACACAUGUAAAACUAACUUUACUGCAGUGUUGGAGUUAAGGUCUAAACUCUAACCCGCUUUCCGGAAUUUUUCAGUAUAGAUCAGCAUAUCCCCACAUACAUCAUCAAGUGAGAAUACCAGGGAGGUGUACCCGGAAGUGGGUUCAGCUUUAAACCUUAACUAUGACACCACGGUAAAGUUAGCUUUUUAUUCAGUUUUCUGACUGCAUUAUCUUUCAGCUAAACCAAGCAACACCGGUUGGUAUUCCAGAUUUCUUUAUGGGUGAGAUUUAAUUAACAUCUAAGUGUUUGUGUGCUUCACCUUCAGUAGCCCAGCUGUCUUGUUUACAGUUACUGGUGGUGAAUAGACGGUGAGUGCAAUUAUUAAUAAAGUAUAAAAAUACACAUAUGAAAGUUAGAUGAUGUGCGUUGUCCCCCAUAGUUUAAUGCUUAAAGCACACUUGACUGGACAUGUCUGUAUCAUUUGGGUUUAUAUUUGACCAUUAAUCCUAUCUUUUGUACUUUAAACGGACACAGUACAAUUAUUAGUGAUGGAAAAGUAUUGUGAGGUUAAAUGAACACAGUUCAGUUAUUAGCUGUUGCGAGGGAAUGCAAAACCAUUGAGUACUCAAAAUGAUUUCAAAAAACAUUUUCCCACCCAGCAGACCUCUUAGAGGCUUCAUUUACAGCAGCUGAGAUGUAGAAAAACACGCCAUUGUCCAUAAGUAUGUAUUUGUGUUUUGUGUUGUGUGAAAUCUACAAAAAUGUGGAGCGAUUUGUAGACGUGAAAAGGGUUUUGCACAUUUGUGUAUCACUUCCUGUCUAAUUGUGCAUCAUAUUACUUUUGUGACCUUGAUUCUUUUUAUUUGCGGAUUUUUUUCCAAUUCCUACCGCAGCUAAUCUGUAGAAAAAAUCCAUAAAUAUGAGGUGCAUCGGGAUAUAAGAUUUUGGUCAUAUCGCACAGCUCUAGACCUAGUCCAGAAACUUUCCAUGGGAAGUCCGACUAGGUGAUGUGUGAUAUUGAUACCAACAUUGCAUGUUAUGCACAUGCAGUUCUUAAAAACGUCAAGGACUGCAAUACUCAGCUGGGUUGAGAUCAGGCUUCAUACUGCCUGGACAUUAUAGUGCAGGGGGUCUCAUUAAAACCUUUGUACUUUGUCAUAGGGAACAAAACUUAGCAAGCACUGCAAUUUUAAUCAUUGAUCAUUUUCAAGAUUAUCUAGUGUAUGUUAUAUAAAUCACUCCUAGAUGGGUUUGUGAGGAAUUUUUCUAACUCCUUUUUUGCUUUAUCCACUAUUACAACAAAAUCACGUUGCGAUUUUUUUCAUUUUCCCCAAAUUUUUUAGCAAUAAUAUAUUACAGCAGAUACUUUUUUUUAUUCCUUGUCAAGCCAUCCAGAUCAGUUGAGCUUGGAUCUCUUCGUGUUUAUUAUUACCUUUCUUGAUUUUGUAGUUUUAUUGUACUUUUCUGAGACGGCGGUGUUUAAGGCAGGCUAUUUGCAUAAUCAAUGGACAGUGAAUGUUUACAGGUCCCAGUUUGCAGUUCUACCCGAAAGUACUGAAGUACCAAAAAAAAGUACCCAGACCGCUUUGGUACUUUGGGUACUUGAAUUUUUGGUGCUGGUACUUGACCAGAAAGCAAUGGAAAAGGGAAAGUACCGUACCAAAAUGAUAGUACCUGGUGCCCUUGGAGAAGGCAUGCAGCACUUAUGCAAAAGCAGCAAAGGUAAAACUUUUUAAACUGCUUUUUAAACAUAAAAAUCUAUAAAAGGAAUAAUUAAAAUUGCAGAGCUUGCCAAGAUUUUUUUUCCCUAUGCCAGAGUAACAGUAAAAGUAUUUUAGCGAAACUUUAGCCCCCUGCGCUAUAAUGACCAUACAGAAUUGAAAGUAAAGCCUGAUCAUAGUCUUUCUGACUAACGAUGUAAGAAUUGGAUGUUCAUAAAAUUUGAUGUUUAUAUUAAUAUAGCAUGUCAUCCGGUCCUGAAAUACACUAUAGCCAUUUUUUUAAAACUCGGUAUAAAAUACCCUGCCUCAAGUUGUGAUCUCAUUCGGUGCUGGUACCAGUUUUCAUGCUAGUGGAAAACCAACACCCUGAAGUACCAUACUUUUGGUACUAUCCCGACGUACCAAAAGUACGGUACCUGGCGCAGGGGAAAAACGCGCUUAGUGGUUAAUAAUAAAUGCUGCUGCUUCUCCGUAAAACUGGGGACUCUCUCAUAUUUUUUGAAUAUGAGGCACAUACACAGUACAUCUGCAGAAUGUGCAGUGUUAAUAUUAACAUAUUAUGCACAUGCAGUUGUCACAUUGUAAGAACCGCUAUAAUCACAUGGAUUGGGACCAUCAGUAAGUUAAACCAAAGCAUGUCAUCAGAUACAAAAGUUAUCAAGGUGUCAAGCCUCUGUGGCCAAACAGAAUGAGUAAUUAUUAAACUAACUACAUGGAAGAACUGAAAACCAGGCCUGUAUUUAGACUCGGGGGCCACAUUUGAUGAGCCUUGAUUUAGACGUUUUGAAGUUCAGGGUUUUGUCCAUGGCAUAAUACCUUGGAGAAGGAAGAGUCACACGGUGAUAAAAAAAAUGGUAUUUUCAAAAAUUGGUGUAGUGCUAUUUGGACCUAUAAGGGGGUAAUUUCAAAUUGAAAUUAAAUGUGGUGUACUUCUGUAUUGGGGCUGUGGAAAACAUCUGUUCAAAGGAUUCUCAAAAGACGCCAAGCAUUCAACUGAAUUUGCCCUCUGACAUGUAUUAAUACGCAGGUAAAUGCUCUCAUUCGAUGUUUUGUUGUAUAAACUGCUGGGUUUAUGGGAGCCAAUCAAAGUACAUGGGUCUGCUGUACAGUUCCUUUUACAUAACAUCUCAGCCUCACUGUUUCCUGUACCUGUUUUUACUUCCUGUUGCCCACAAUGUGGACAUUUUAUGGUGUGCCAUGCAGUAUCCCAUAUUAUGAGGGAAAACCUCUGAACUCCUGUUAAACAGAUUGUUAUAUGUGCUGAGUGAUGCUUCUCCCUGACCUGCUAUAAUUUUAAAUGUAUUUUCGAAUGUACACUUUGUCAGGUAAUUUAAGGCAGAAUUUUUAAUACCGUAAAGGGAAAAAUAUUCUGCAGUCUUCUAGCUCUCAAAGGUUAAUAAAGGUUGUUGUUGGUUUCAGAACUUAAAAAAAAAAUCAUGUGGUGUACAUGAUUGACUGAAGAUGUCGUCAGACUGCCAUAAUUUACCAGGGUGGGGGUGGCUUUUAAACUUGAUACAUUAUAUAAAUGGUAAGAAAAAGGAUCAUUGGUUAGGCAGGGAUGAACGUGUAUCUCGUAUAGGAAACUAUUGGGAAAAUCUAUCUUAUCAGGGGAAGAAAUGUGUCAAAAUACAUGCUAAUGGAGGUGAGAGAUUCAUUAUUUACUUGACAUGAGGUAGCAAGAGCAGUGGUUCAUUAAAAAUGGAAGAAUGGUGAAUAAACUAUAACCAUAGGUGCUAACAGUUAUGUGUACCCAAGAGUUUAGGCAUUCUUAUUCGUAAUGCAGGUGAGAAUAUUUUCUGUGUAUUUGUGAGAUUGAAAUGUAACUAAGCAAAUAACGCUAACAUGUCAAAUCAGGUGUGGUAAUCAACUUAGGAAAGUCUAUACCAUACAUCUUUUAUUUUUUUUUGGGGGGGGGGGGGGGAGGUGUGUGUGUAUUGGCUAGCUCAAGUGACACCAGGAAGUCAGUGCUAAGCAGUAGAGUAAAAUCUGAGGGUCACUUCUGAAAGUCUUUUUUAAAUUAUUGCUUUUGUUGAAAUAUGUGAUUACCUGGAAUGGACCAAUCCAAUGGCAUCAUGCUGUAGAAGGGUUUUGAGAGUGCUAGUAUCAUCACUCCUGCAAGGAGUCUUAUAAAAAAAUGUGACACAUGUAAUGUGUACCAGUUUCAACCACUUGGUAUGCAUGGCAUCUUGAAGGCAUUUGCCAUGCCCUUUUGGCCUCAUGGGGGAAAAAUGAGCACUUUUCAAAACCAGCCGUGUUCAAUUCCUAUUCCUGAAAUAAGUCUGUGACUGCAUCAGGUCUUCCGGCAGCAGAAACUUGAUGCAGCAGUGAGCAUGCUUGUGUGUCAGGAUGUACGGGAAUUGCUUGGGCUUUCAGAGCCGGCACAUGUGUGUUUACCUUGUCAUGACUGGGAAAAGCUGCCUAGUUUUAAAAAGACAUGCAUUCUUCUGAAUGACAGUAGAAGGAAAUAUCUGUCCUGUUAUGUUUUUUUUUUCUUGAUCUGAGUACCGUGUGCUGGUUUCGGAAAGUCUGGCGCCUGUUGACUGUUGUUCUGUGCAGCUUGUUUGCCAUGUUGCCAUGUGGCAGAAGUAUUAGCAACCUGAAAUUUAAUCAUUUUCGUUCUCAAACCCCCUACCACCACCAGUGCAUCCUGGUGCAUAAUGCAUAUGUCCCAAUUAAUCUACAUGCCUUCUACCAAGCCUUGUAAUUGGGUAGACGAAGAUUUUAUUUGUCUAAAAUGGAAUAAUUAAAAUUUUAAAGAUAUCUGAUGUGUGUUUACCAGAACAGUGCUGUGUGACUAAGCAGUGGAUGUAUCUGACAGACUACCUCGUUUGUCAGGUCUUUGACCUUUUAUUUGUGGGUGGGGGAUGGGAUGUAGAGGCGAGUACCAUUUAAUGCCGUGUGUGCCCCUGAUUUUCUUCAGAUUUAGGCUUUAGGGAGCGCAUUCCUCGGACUUUAUUGGCAUAUAUCAGGUUUUUUUAGCGGUGCUAUUCUCGACCAGGUUGAAGGACUUGCAUAUCACUUUAGCUUAAGCACAGUUUAAACAUAGGGGAAGUAGUUCUGAAUUUUUAGUUUGUGAAUAGUAUAUUUUAUAUAAAAUAGUGAUGCUGCUUUGAAAUCUUAAAGCUGAAACCGUCUGUAUUUUGGGCAAACAAUAUGUAUCCCUUAAAAUGAAAGCUUUGGUGUGGUUAAUGUAGCCGCCUAUGAAUCAUGAUCCCUGUUGCCAUCCGUAGUUGUCUUUUUACCUUGUUUAUUUCAAGAGAUCCUUUUUUUUUUAACCCCCCCCCCCCCACACACACACACACACAUACAUUCAUUGCAAUUGUAUUUUCCUGUACCCCCAAUGAAAAUGUUAAUAAUAAAAAAAAAAUAAAAAAUCCAUCUCCAUAUUGAUCGCUAGCAUAGGUGGGGGAGACUGGGUCUUGUUACUUUUACCACUUUGCAUGUUGUAACCAAAAUCCAUGCAGUCAUUUACAUAGACCCACAUACAUCUGGUGUAAGCAGCAGUUUCAGAAUGGGUAGUCAGGAAGGCAGGGGCCAUGGUUGACGUCAGUCUUUUUGUAACGUGUAGUUUAGUCAUGACUAGUUUCAGCAGGUUUUGUUAACAGUAGAAACCCUGCUUAUUGGCGGUUGCUGUCAUUAACAUUUAAUUGUAAGAAUAUAAUGGACAUAUUCAUCCCUGCAGGGAGAUUGGGUUGUUUUGCAUAUUCCAGCUUGUUCUCCAUAAGAGAGACAGACACACAUGAAUAUUUAAGUGAGUGGAAGUUUUGGGGUCAGAUGAUCAACCAGCUCCCAGUACUCCUGGAGCAGGUGGAGCCAAGUUAUUUGCUCAAUGGCCCAGUGAUAAUACGAUUACUCAACUUCUUGCAGGAUUCAAACCAACAACCCUCCAGAUCAGGAAGUGGAACUGGAGUUGGAAUUCUAAUCUCCUUGUAAUACGAAUUCAAUUCUAGUUCUGUUCCCCAUAGUUUUUUUUUCCAAUCCCAACUCCAUUCCCUAAUUUGGACUGGAAUUGAUUAAUGCAUUCCGGAAUGGCCCUAACCCUGCUCCAGACACUGGCUCAGGAGUAUAAUCUGCUAAACUACACUCUCCCCCAAUACGACCAUAUAGAUUCAUAAAACCUGGUUACACACUGAUCCCUUCUUAAGAUCUUAAAUUUUGAAAUGUUUACAGAUAGCGGUUCUGAGUUAUUCUUCUUUAUGAAAUGGUUGUAUGUCACAGAAUUGAAUCAGUAGUGACAUUUCAGAAUUCCAGGCGAAGUGCUGCUCCUGCUUUUUAAAGUAGAUGUCUAAAUAUUGGGGGCGGCAUGGUGGUGCGCUGGUUAGCACUGUUGCCUCACACCUCUGGGACCCGGGUUCGAGUCUCCGCCUGGGUCACGUGUGUGGACUUUGCAUGUUCUCCCCAUGUCGUCGUGGGGUUUCCUCUGGGUACUCCAGUUUCCCCCCCCACAGUCCAAAAACGUGCUGAGCCUAAUUGGAGUUGCUAAAUUGCCCAUAGGAGUGCAUGCGUGAGUGAAUGGUGUGUGAGUGUGCCCUGCGAUGGGCUGGCCUCCCAUCCUGGGUUGUUCCCUGCCUCGUGCCCAUUGCUUCCGGGAUAGGCUCCGGACCCCCGAGACCCAGUAGGAUAAGCGGUUUGGAAAAUGGAUGGAUGUCUAAAUAUUGAAGGUUAUGUUGGUCUUUGCGGAUGUGUGUGUGUGAGAAAAAAUAAUUUAAUUAGUCGUCUUGCUAUCUGUUUAUUAUGUGCCCUUUGAUACUCGUGAACUUGUCUCCCUGCUGUAUGCUGUAUGUUUCUCUCCACUGUUUGAAAAGUUGCCAAUAUUUGACACAAUGGGUACCAAUGUCUCCUAAGAUCGCCGUUUCCUUUAGAUUUUCCUGUUGAAUUAUGCAAUGAAUCAAGUCUAAAAGCUUCCACCGAUCUGUAACAACAGGCUUUCCUUGGUCGGCUGAUGAAAAAGCUGGUUUUGGAACAAUGCAUCUAUGCUGGCAAAUGUAGUACCUGUAGCUGUCUAAUAACGUUAUUUUAUUAAUACAAUGCAAUUUUUUUAAGUGCCAAUUUAGAGCUGUUUGGGCUAUUUUCUAUUACUGAUCAACAGUCACCUCUAUUUUUGGAGGCAAGUUUGGUGUUUGUCUUCUACCAUUGCCCAGGCAGCAACACCGAUUAGUGUGGCAUAGUGGUGAUGCGCCACUGGGCAUAUGGAGGAUGGGUGGGUGUGUUUGGUAUGCAUGGAAUGCAUAUGAUAGUCCACUGGGCUACCAACUUUAUGAAUUUGCCAAGUAGGUUAAUUUGUCAUUUCAGCCAUAAUCACAGUGAAACAAAACAUUGUUCCUCCAGGACCAAGAUGCACACAAAAAACAAAAGAACGGAAACAACAUAAGACUACACAAGUGCAGUUACAGGAAAGACAACAUGCAGUGCAGUUGACAAAGUAGCAACUGUGCUAGUUGGAAUGGAUCUUUUAAUAAAUAGUAUUAUUACAGACACAGCAUAAUGGCAUAUACUGUGUUUGGUAGUCCAGAUGCACUUUUUGGUGGUCCAGUGUCGUCCUGGUUCAGAGCUGUACACUUACUUUAAAUGGUACCACUGGUAAAAAAAAUCUGUAGCACAAACAAAAAGCACACAGAGGGUUUACUGGUCAUACAUAAAAUGUUCACGAAUGAUUCUCAUUUGCAUGUAUUAGGCUACAAGUUAAUCACAGUUCGCUACAUUAUUCUAACUGGAGAUGCACCGAUCCGAUAUUCGGAUCAGUAUCGGCACCGAUCCAUAGCUAACCAGAAGGAUUGGGUUUUGGCCAUAUCACACCUGAUACUUUACUUUUCAUUAGUCUGUAAAAAGAUAGCUAUCUCUGGGCAUAAGUGUUUUUCUUGCAUGCCUUUACAACGCGUUUGUGUGACUUUACCAAUCACUAGUAUUAUUAUUAGUACUAUUAGAUCUUAGAGCUGGGCGAUAUAUAUUUAAAAACAGUAAUAAUGGCAUAUUUUAAUAAUAUUGUGUUGGGCAAUGCUGUUGAAUAGUCUAACACUCCUAUCCCUUUCUCAUAGAUGCACACGCACAGAUACACGUGGCACCAAGCAAAUAUGAAAUAUGAAAAAGCUUUGUAGUAGUCGUAAAUAAUUCAUUGACACAUUCUGUCUUGGGGUUUUAGGGAUAUGAAGUGGCAAUUUUAACCAAUUGAACCACCAUUAUAACCAUACGAGGAGUUCAAAUAUAUUCAUGUGUGUGUGUGUGUGUGUGUGUGUGUCUGUGUGUGUUCAACUGUGUCAGAAACUUACGCUAGAUGGCUGAACUGAAAGCCAAAUCACAAAUUUUUGUUUUGUGUGUAGUCUGGGCCUGCUUCGACAAAGGCGAUAAUCACUGGUUAGUCACUGUCAGAUCCCAAAACCAGGUUGCUUGUCAGAUAUUGUCAAUUACUGAUAUCGUUAUAUUGCCCAGUCCUAUUAGAUAUUGGUACAAGCAUGCAACACGCUUAUUGACACACUGACAUUGAUGAGAUUUACUCCUUAGCUUUACUCCAAAAUUUGGUACUGAAUGACAAGGCAUUUUUCUGUGCUAGAUGGUAUCUAACCAAUUCUGUCGGCGCCAUGAAAGAAUCGAAGUUUGCUACCCAGCCCUAGUGGAAAAGCUGUUUGUCAAAGUCUAAUAUUUUCUUAGUGAAACAAUAGCUAGCACAUGUCUUAAUAACACAUUAAAUGUAGUUUGACUAUGAUACUCUUUAAAUUGUGAUGCAUUCCCAAUAUGAUUGCACUUUGAUUUAUUUUAUUAUGGUUUUUAAAUAUUUUAGGUGUAUUAGAGGAAGCAGAUAAGCAAAUCACCCAUUGGUAGUAGACAGCGUGUUGAGGAUGUGAUGCGUACGUAGAAUACAAUACCAAAGAAUGUGGCAUGCAGUCAAAGGAAACUGGGUCUAUAAUUAGUUUUAUGUCCAGGGGGCAGAAAUAUAGGUCGCUAUCAUAAGCAGAAGUGUUUUUAAAGGAUGACAAUGUUCAUUUGGCAUUGAAUUUAGCAAUACAAUAGUCUGUUAGCUAGCUAUCAUGUAAAUCAACAUUUUGCAGCUUCUGGCUAGUACAUGUUUACUGUGAGUUGUUUUGUAGUUUAAACAAUUCUACAUGCAUUUGUAUUGUUAAAAAUACAAAUGAACAGUACAUCUAAACUGACACCAUCAUCCUACAGUUAAACACUUUUAAUGUUUGGCUGGCUGUUUACAUCUGUAAUAUCAACGCAGCUUGGUUUGUUGGGUGGAUUCAAAAGCUGCUACUCCCCUGUAGGCGGUGGUGGUGUGAAAGGAAUUUGUGUCUGAAUGCUGAUGAGGGAGAGUGGAUGUGACCCAGGUUAGGCAAGGGAGGUCUUUUUAUGGGCAAGCAGGAAAGGAAAUAUGGGGGUGACUUUGGGGUUGAGGAAAGCGCUGUGUGGUUUGUUGUUAUGAAUUGCACAUCGAUCAGGUAAGGAAUGUCUCAGGAUUUUAACUUACCCAUCAAGUUUCUUCUAUUACGCCUGGCAUUUCUCACAGCUUAGAAUUUGGAUAGGUUUUGUAUAAGUCACUCUUAA